rnacentral:rRNA from 1 species
UAUCGCGCAAUCGCCUUGAGUUGAUAUGGCUCAGAUUGAACGCUGGCGGAAUGCUUUACACAUGCAAGUCGAGCGGCAGCGCGGGGCAACCUGGCGGCGAGCGGCGAACGGGUGAGUAAUGCAUCGGAACAUGUCCAUGUCGUGGGGGAUAGCCCGGCGAAAGCCGGAUUAAUACCGCAUACGCCCGAGAGGGGAAAGUGGGGGACCGCAAGGCCUCACGCGAUUGGGUUGGCCGAUGUCCGAUUAGCUAGUUGGCGGGGUAAGAGCCCACCACGGCGAUGAUCGGUAGCUGGUCUGAGAGGAUGAUCAGCCACACUGGGACUGAGACACGGCCCAGACUCCUACGGGAGGCAGCAGUGGGGAAUUUUGGACAAUGGGGGCAACCCUGAUCCAGCCAUUCCGCGUGAGUGAAGAAGGCCUUCGGGUUGUAAAGCUCUUUUGUCCGGAACGAAACGGUUAGCGUGAAUAUCGCUGACUACUGACGGUACCGGAAGAAUAAGCACCGGCUAACUACGUGCCAGCAGCCGCGGUAAUACGUAGGGUGCGAGCGUUAAUCGGAAUUACUGGGCGUAAAGCGUGCGCAGGCGGUUUUGUAAGCCAGAUGUGAAAUCCCCGGGCUUAACCUGGGAAUGGCAUUUGGGACUGCAAGGCUUGAGUGCGGCAGAGGAGACUGGAAUUCCUGGUGUAGCAGUGAAAUGCGUAGAUAUCAGGAGGAAUACCGAUGGCGAAGGCANGUCUCUGGGCUGACACUGACGCUCAUGCACGAAAG